AAUCAACGCUGGCGGCGUGCCUCAGACAUGCAAGUCGAACGCGAAAGUCCCCUUCGGGGGACAAGUAGAGUGGCGCACGGGUGAGUAACACGUAGGUAAUCUACCUUCGGAUGGGGAAUAACAACCGGAAACGGUUGCUAAUACCGCAUAAUGCAGCGGCACCUAAUGGUGACAGUUGUUAAAGCGGGGGAUCGAAAGACCUCGCGUCUGAAGAGGAGCCUGCGGCGGAUUAGCAGUUGGUAAGGUAACGGCUUACCAAGGCGACGAU
rnacentral:rRNA from 1 species